GAUACUUAUAUCCAUUGUAUUUUGAAAUUUAAGGUUCUUUCUCACCAACCUGCGCGAUGAAAAAUAUUACCUCAAAUGAUUCUAAAUGGUUAAUAUAGUAGUUCAAGAUAUUCCCUGCGCAGUUUCUCAUUUCAUUAUUGUCUGAGUUUUAAUUCAACUAGAGCCUACGAAGAAUCAAAUGCACUGACUUUUGUCGUGCAUACUUGCUAGGUUAUAGUUAUCAUAGCAAUUGAGAAAACCCAAAGAAGAUGUUUUACAUGUGAAAUGACAUGCUUCCAUAAACAACCAAUAAGAUUAUUAAGAUCUGGGCAUUGUUUAUAUAGAUUGUUCUAUUUUGUUAAAUUUGAAUUUUGAGUAGAUUUUACAAAAGUGAAAUAAAGAGGUCUCCAUAAAGUUUAUGUUAGGACUUUCUGUGGGGAUGUAUCUCUUCUCAUAUCAUCGCGACUUUCACAUUGAUAGCAUUAUGUGUUCCUUUCACUUUGAACAAAUUUAUAUGAUUUUCAUUUGGUGAAUCUUCUCUUUUUCCUUGUAAUGAUUGAAUUUACAUUUCCCUUUCUGCCAAUGCAAUUGUUCGCAAUGUCUUUUAUACAAUGGAAAACAAGCUUCUUAUGGGUUUUAUCACAUCUCAGGCAUUAUAGAACUUGGGAGCCAAAUAAGAUUAAAUAGAAGAAUUCUCAAGUACGCCACAAACUGGAAGAACUGAUUGUUGGAUCCAAAAUUGUAAGUGUAAUAGCUAUUCUGAUUGUUGGAUCCAAAAUUGUAAGUAUAAUAGCUAUUCUUACUGGUAAAAGAAAGAGUGAGAAACUUGGUAUCAUUUGGUUCAGCUAGAGAUAGUUGGUCUGGAUAAUUCAAGCAUAGCUGCUACAAGGGUUGCUCUUGCUUGGAAUGCUUCAGUUUGGUAAAUGGUUAACAUGAAAAUUUGGGACCAAUACUAGAGUUGUUUGCAUGUUAUGGAGAUUUUCAAAGCUGAAGAGAGGAGAUUGAGUUUUUCAACUUUCCAUGCAAGUUUAGAGUUAGUCUUUAGCUGGAAUUCAUCCCCCAGGCAGUGCGGUAAUGGUUACAACCCAGGCGAGUAGCUGUGGUCGCGAAACAAGUUGCAGCUUUUAUAAAAGAAUUUUUAUCAGAGCCAGCCGUGGGAGUGCUCGAGUUACGGAGUUAGAUUGUCCUGGUGUCUGUCCUGUGGCCAAUAUCAAAGCGAUCAAAAGAAUAAAGAUCAUUUCUAUUCCAAGGUGGGGAGUUUGAUUUUCCCCAUCGACCUAUUGAUGGGCAAGCAAAAUUUCUGGAUUGCAAUCAUUGUAAGAAAAAUACAUUUCCUUAAGCUUUGAAUUGGUUGACUAGGUCACCAGAAUAUGUUAUUUUAGACAUUUUCUUGCCAGAUGAUGAAGUGGCUGUAACAUGGACAAGGCAAACACGUGUCUCCAAGUAGUUGGGCAUAUAAUGGCCACAAAUCGAUUUAGUAGUAUUGAUUCUUAUGGAGGUAGAAUAUUGUUCUUUGGAUUGCAGUGAUGUUGACAUAAUUUAGUCCUGAUAUAUUCUGUAACAAUUCAGUCGUUUAUUCACACUUGGUUCCCUAGGCA